AAUAUAACUUUCAGCAACGGAUCUCUUGGCUCUCGCAUCGAUGAAGAACGCAGCGAAUCGCGAUAAGUAAUGUGAAUUGCAGAUUUUCCGUGAAUCAUCGAAUCUUU
rnacentral:rRNA from 1 species